CAACCAUCAAGCCCCCGGCUUGUGUUGGGGACCUGCGGCUGCCGCAGGCCCUGAAAACCAGUGGCGGGCUCGCUGUCACCCCGAGCGUAGUAGUUACUUCUCGCUCUGGGCGUGCUGCGGGUUCCGGCCGUUAAAAGCCUUAUUUACCCAA
rnacentral:misc_RNA from 1 species